rnacentral:rRNA from 1 species
GACGUCAAAGCGUAUACAAAGUCGAGUCGGUUUAAGGAUACGUUCGUUGGGUAGGGGAGCGUUCUGUAAGCCUGCGAAGGUGGCCUGUGAGGGUUGCUGGAGGUAUCAGAAGUGCGAAUGCUGACAUAAGUAACGAUAAAGCGGGUGAAAAGCCCGCUCGCCGGAAGACCAAGGGUUCCUGUCCAACGUUAAUCGGGGCAGGGUGAGUCGACCCCUAAGGCGAGGCCGAAAGGCGUAGUCGAUGGGAAACGGGUUAAUAUUCCCGUACUUGGUGUUACUGCGAAGGGGGGACGGAGAAGGCUAUGUUGGCCGGGCGACGGUUGUCCCGGUUUAAGCGUGUAGGUGUGUGUUCCAGGUAAAUCCGGUUCACUUUAACACUGAGGCGUGACGACGAGGCACUACGGUGCUGAAGCAACAAAUGCCCUGCUUCCAGGAAAAGCCUCUAAGCAUCAGGUAACAUCAAAUCGUACCCCAAACCGACACAGGUGGUCAGGUAGAGAAUACCAAGGCGCUUGAGAGAACUCGGGUGAAGGAACUAGGCAAAAUGGUGCCGUAACUUCGGGAGAAGGCACGCUGACACGUAGGUGAAGUGAUUUACUCAUGGAGCUGAAGUCAGUCGAAGAUACCAGCUGGCUGCAACUGUUUAUUAAAAACACAGCACUGUGCAAACACGAAAGUGGACGUAUACGGUGUGACGCCUGCCCGGUGCCGGAAGGUUAAUUGAUGGGGU